GGGGUUGUGGCUCAGUGGUAGAGCACUUGCUUGGUAUGUGUGAGGCAUUAGGUUCGAUUCUCAACACUG
rnacentral:tRNA from 1 species